GCUGGGCAUGGUGGUGCACACCUGUAGUCCCAGCUACCUGGGAGGCUGAGGCGGGAGGAUUGCUUAAGCCCGGGAAUUCAAGGCUGCAGUGAGCCAUGAUCUUACCACUGCACUCUAGCCUGGGCAGCAGAGCAAGACCCUGCCUUGC
rfam:Homo sapiens chromosome 1, GRCh38 reference primary assembly.